rnacentral:rRNA from 1 species
AGAAUCAACGCUGGCGGCGUGCCUAACACAUGCAAGUCGCACGAGAAAGGGGAGCAAUCCCUGAGUACAGUGGCGCACGGGUGAGUAACACGUGAAUAAUCUACCUCCGAGUGGGGAAUAACUGAGAGAAAUCUUAGCUAAUACCGCAUAACACUUACGAGUCAAAGCAGCAAUGCGCUUGGAGAGGAGUUCGCGGCCGAUUAGUUAGUUGGCGGGGUAAUGGCCCACCAAGACGAUGAUCGGUAUCCGGCCUGAGAGGGCGCACGGACACACUGGAACUGAAACACGGUCCAGACUCCUACGGGAGGCAGCAGUGGGGAAUUUUGCGCAAUGGGGGAAACCCUGACGCAGCAACGCCGCGUGGAGGAUGAAGCCCUUGGGGUGUAAACUCCUUUCGAUCGGGAAGAUAAUGACGGUACCGAUAUAAGAAGCCCGGCUAACUCGCGCCAGCAGCCGC